rnacentral:rRNA from 1 species
UACGGAGGAUCCAAGCGUUAUCCGGAUUUAUUGGGUUUAAAGGGUGCGUAGGCGGCCUGUUAAGUCAGGGGUGAAAGACGGUAGCUUAACUAUCGCAGUGCCCUUGAUACUGAUGGGCUUGAAUGUACUUGAGGUAGGCGGAAUGUGACAAGUAGCGGUGAAAUGCAUAGAUAUGUCACAGAACACCAAUUGCGAAGGCAGCUUACUAAAGUAUGAUUGACGCUGAGGCACGAAAGCGUGGGGAU